UCGGUGGUUCAGUGGUAGAAUGCUCGCCUGCCACGUGGGCGGCCCGGGUUCGAUUAAAAAAUGAUUAUUUUUGCCCAGAUUCAGAU